rnacentral:rRNA from 1 species
UACGUAGGGUGCGAGCGAUAAUCGGAAUUACUGGGCGUAAAGCGUGCGCAGGCGGUUUUGUAAGGCAGAUGUGAAAGCCCCGGGCUCAACCUGGGAAUGGCAUUUGGGACUGCAAGGCUGGAGUUUGGCAGAGGAGACUGGAAUUCCUGGUGUAGCAGUGAAAUGCGUAGAUAUCAGGAGGAAUACCGAUGGCGAAGGCAGGUCUCUGGGCUAUAACUGACGCUCAUGCACGAAAGCGUGGGGGGCAAACAGG